rnacentral:rRNA from 1 species
UGGGGAAUCUUGCGCAAUGGCCGAAAGGCUGACGCAGCGACGCCGCGUGUGGGAGGACGCCCUUCGGGGUGUAAACCACUGUUGCCCGGGACGAACAUCCCCUUUCGAGGGGACUGACGGUACCGGGUGAGGAAGCACCGGCUAACUCCGUGCCAGCAGCCGCGGUAAUACGGAGGGUGCGAGCGUUGUCCGGAAUCACUGGGCGUAAAGGGCGCGUAGGCGGCGCGGGAAGUCAUCGGUGAAAGUUCAGGGCUCAACUCUGAAUCGGCCGGUGAUACUCUCGUGCUUGAGCACUGUAGAGGCAGGUGGAAUUCCGGGUGUAGCGGUGGAAUGCGUAGAGAUCCGGAAGAACACCGGUGGCGAAGGCGGCCUGCUGGGCAGUAGCUGACGCUGAUGCGCGACAGCGUGGGGAGCAAAC